GACGAACGCUGGCGGCGUGCCUAAUACAUGCAAGUAGGACGCAGUUGCGAACGGGUGAGUAACGCGUAGGUAACUACCUAUUAGAGGGGGAUAACUAUUGGAAACGAUAGCUAAUACCGCAUACUAGUAGAUGGACCUGCGUUGUAUUAGCUCGUAGGUGGGGUAAUGGCCUACCUAGGCAACGAUACAUAGCCGAGCCGAGAGGGUGGACGGCCACACUGGGACUGGGACAAGGGCCAAGCUCCUACUGGAGGCAGCAGUAGGGGAACAUCGGAAAUGGGGUGAACCCUGACCGAGCAAAGGCGCGGGAGUGAAGAAGGGUUUCGGGUCGGAAAGCUCUGUUGUUAAGGGAGCGGUACUUAACCAGAAAGGGACGGCUAACUACGUGCCAGCCGCCGCGGUAAUUC
rnacentral:rRNA from 1 species